CAGGAGUGAAAGGCUACGGCUCAACCGUAGUAAGCUCUUGAAACUGGGGGACUUGAGUGCAGGAGAGGAGAGUGGAAUUCCUAGUGUAGCGGUGAAAUGCGUAGAUAUUAGGAGGAACACCAGUUGCGAAGGCGGCUCUCUGGACUGUAACUGACGCUGAGGCACGAAAGCGUGGGGAGCAAACAGGAUUAGAUACCCUGGUAGUCCACGCUGUAAACGAUGAGUACUAGGUGUCGGGGGUUACCCCCUUCGGUGCCGCAGCUAACGCAUUAAG
rnacentral:rRNA from 1 species